rnacentral:rRNA from 1 species
UACGUAGGGACCGAGCGUUGUCCGGAAUCAUUGGGCGUAAAGAGCGUGUAGGCGGCUAUUUAAGUCCUGCGUGAAAUCCUGCGGCUCAACCGCAGACGGUCGUGGGAAACUGGAUGGCUAGAGUGCGGGAGAGGAGAGUGGAAUUCCCGGUGUAGCGGUGAAAUGCGCAGAUAUCGGGAAGAACACCCGUGGCGAAGGCGGCUCUCUGGAACGCAACUGACGCUGAG